rnacentral:rRNA from 1 species
GACGAACGCUGGCGGCGUGCUUAACACAUGCAAGUCGAACGGAAAGGCCCUGCUUUUGUGGGGUGCUCGAGUGGCGAACGGGUGAGUAACACGUGAGUAACCUGCCCUUGACUUUGGGAUAACUUCAGGAAACUGGGGCUAAUACCGGAUAGGAGCUCCUGCUGCAUGGUGGGGGUUGGAAAGUUUCGGCGGUUGGGGAUGGACUCGCGGCUUAUCAGCUUGUUGGUGGGGUAGUGGCUUACCAAGGCUUUGACGGGUAGCCGGCCUGAGCGGGUGACCGGCCACAUUGGGACUGAGAUACGGCCCAGACUCCUACGGGAGGCAGCAGGGGGGAAUAUUGCACAAUGGGCGGAAGCCGGAUGCAGCAACGCCGCGUGCGGGAUGACGGCCUUCGGGUUGUAAACCGCUUUCGCCUGUGACGAAGCGUGAGUGACGGUAAUGGGUAAAGAAGCACCGGCUAACUACGUG